rnacentral:rRNA from 1 species
GGAGGAAUAUUGCACAACGGGGGAAACCCAGGUGCAGCAACGCCGCGUGAGUGAAGAAGGCCUUCGGGUCGUAAAACUCUUUUCUGAGGGAUGAGGAAGGACAGUACCUCAGGAACAAGUCUCGGCUAAUUACGUGCCAGCAGCCGCGGUAAGACGUAAGAGGCGAGCGUUAUCCGGAUUUACUGGGCGUAAAGGGCAAGUAGGCGGUACGGCAAGUCAGUUGUGACAGAUCCCGGCUUAACUGGGAGAGGACGAUUGAGACUGUCGAGCUAGAGGACAGGAGAGGGAAGCGGAAUUCCUUGUGUAGCGGUGGAAUGCUCAGAUACAAGGAGGAACACCAGUGGCGAAGGCGGCUUUCUGGCCUGGUCCUGACGCUGAAGAGCGAAAGCUAGGGGAGCAAACGGG